UACGUAGGGUGCGAGCGUUAAUCGGAAUUACUGGGCGUAAAGCGUGCGCAGGCGGUUAUUUAAGUCAGGUGUGAAAGCCCUGGGCUUAACCUAGGAAUUGCGCUUGAGACUGGAUAGCUUGGAGUGCGGCAGAGGGAGGUGGAAUUCCACGUGUAGCAGUGAAAUGCGUAGAUAUCGAGAGGAACACCUGCGGCGAAGGCGGGUUGCUGGGCUGAUGACUGACGCUGAGGCGCGAAAGCCAGGGGAGCGAACGGG
rnacentral:rRNA from 1 species